CAAACAUGGCUUCUGUGGUGCUGGCGCUGAAGACUUGGACAGCCGUUACAUCCUUGCUGAGCUCCACUCCGGCUACAGCUCUUGCUGUCAGAUAUGCAUCCAAGAAGACAGGUGGUAGCUCCAAAAACCUUGGUGGAAAGUCAUCAGGCAGACGCCUAGGCAUUAAGAAAAUGGAAGGUCACUAUGUUCAUGCUGGGAACAUCAUUGGAACACAGAAUCAUUUCCGCUGGCACCCAGGUGCCCAUGUGGGUCUUGGGAAGAAUAAAUGUCUGUAUGCCCUGGAAGAGCGGACAGCCUGCUACACUAAGGAGGUCUACGUACCUCAUCUCAGAAACACGGAGGCUGUGGAUCUGAUCACCAGGCUGCCCAAGGGUGCUGUGCUCUAUAAGGCUUUUGUCCACGUGGUUCCUGCCAAGCUGGAGGACACCUUCAAACUGGUAGCUAUGCUUUGA